UACGUAGGGGGCAAGCGUUGUCCGGAAUCAUUGGGCGUAAAGCGCGUGUAGGCGGCUCGAUAAGUCUGCUGUGAAAACUCGAGGCUCAACUUCGAGCUGUCGGUGGAAACUUUCUGGCUAGAGUCCGGAAGAGGAGAAUGGAAUUCCUGGUGUAGCGGUGAAAUGCGCAGAUAUCAGGAAGAACACCCGUGGCGAAGGCGGUUCUCUGGGACGGUACUGACGCUGAGACGCGAAAGCGUGGGGAGCGAACAGG
rnacentral:rRNA from 1 species